GCAUAUCCAAUAAGCGGAGGAAAAGAAACCAACCGGGAUUGCCUUAGUAACGGCGAGUGAAGCGGCAAAAGCUCAAAUUUGAAAUCUGGUACCUUCGGUGCCCGAGUUGUAAUUUGUAGAAGGCGACUCUGGGGCUGGUCCUUGUCUAUGUUCCUUGGAACAGGACGUCAUGGAGGGUGAGAAUCCCGUAUGGCGAGGAUCCCAGUUCUUUGUAGAGUGCCUUCGAAGAGUCGAGUUGUUUGGGAAUGCAGCUCUAAGUGGGUGGUAAAUUCCAUCUAAAGCUAAAUAUUGGCGAGAGACCGAUAGCGAACAAGUACAGUGAUGGAAAGAUGAAAAGAACUUUGAAAAGAGAGUGAAAAAGUACGUGAAAUUGUUGAAAGGGAAGGG
rnacentral:rRNA from 1 species